rnacentral:rRNA from 1 species
CCUACGGGUGGCAGCAGUGGGGAAUAUUGCACAAUGGGGGAAACCCUGAUGCAGCGACGCCGCGUGAGUGAAGAAGUAAUUCGUUACGUAAAGCUCUAUCAGCAGGGAAGCAAAUGACGGUACCUGUGUAAGAAGCCCCGGAUAACUACGUGCCAGCAGCCGCGGCAAGACGUCGGGGGCAAGCGUUAUCCGGAUUUACUGGGUGUAACGGGAGCGUAGUCGGUGCGACAAGUUUGGAGUGAAAUGCCGCAGCUUAACUGCGGAACUGCUUUGGAUACUGGCGAACUAGAGUGCGGGUGGGGUAGGCGGAAUGCGUGGUGUAGCGGUGAAAUGCGUAGAUAUUAGGAAGAACACCGGUGGCGAAGGCGGCUUACUGGACCGUAACUGACGUUGAGGCACGAAAGCGUGGGGAGCAAACAGGAUUAGAUACCCUUGUAGUC